UACGGAGGGUGCGAGCGUUGUCCGGAAUCACUGGGCGUAAAGGGCGCGUAGGCGGCGCGGGGAGUCAACGGUGAAAGCUCGGCGCUCAACGCCGAGUCGGCCGUCGAUACUCCCGUGCUCGAGCACUGUAGAGGCAGGUGGAAUUCCGGGUGUAGCGGUGGAAUGCGUAGAGAUCCGGAAGAACACCGGUGGCGAAGGCGGUCUGCUGGGCAGUUGCUGACGCUGAUGCGCGACAGCGUGGGGAGCAAACAGG
rnacentral:rRNA from 1 species